CGCUACUGACCCGAGGCGCCGGCAGUCUCCGGACCCGUGCUAGGGCGGCGGUUACGGUGCUCUGCGGAGCAGUGCAGCCGAGGUCGAACCUCCCCAGACGGCCCGGGACCGCACGGCGCGGCAAGCGUCCUCGGUCUCGCGGCGUGUCCACCGCGGCGGUCUAUAACACGACACCCCGAAGGGCGGCGCUACCUUACCGCCGGGCUUCUGACCGCCGCAAAACCGGUCGUAGCACUCGACCGCGGAGAAAGUGCACCCUGCCACGCGGACGUCCCGCUGGCCCGGUCCUUGCGGAUCCGAACUUUGCGAGCGCCGCUUGCGGCCGG
rnacentral:rRNA from 1 species